CCGAUGCUAAGACCUUAUAAGUCUUCGAGCCCCAAGAAUUGAAAAGGAAAAAAGGCCUGAGCUACAGCUUAUCGAUGGACCCGCUGUGUGUUAACUAAAUGGCGAAGCAACGGCUCAACGAGGCCGCGAUGCAUAGACGACCAUGAGACGCUGAUCGGCCACAUUGCGACUGACACACCCUCCCAAACUCCUACGGGAGGCAACAUUAGAGGAAUCUUCCGCAAUGCACAUACGUCUGAUGUAUCAGCGCCAGCGAGAGUGACGAAAGUUUUCGGAUCUUAAAACUCUGUUGAUAGAGAAGAACAAGUGCUAGAGUAACUGUUAGGCGCCUUGACUGUAUCUAACCCGAAAGCCACGGCUAACUACGAGCCAUCACCCGACUUAUAUGCGUAAGUGGCAAGUCGUUGUCCGGAUUUAUUUGGCGUAAAGCGAGUGCAGGCGGUUCGUUAAGUCUGAUGUGAAAGCCCCGGGCUCAAUCUGGGAGGGUCAUUGGAAACUGGGGAGAUUGAGUGCAGAAGAGGAGAGUGGAAUUCCAGGUGUAGCGGUGAAAUGGGUAGAUAUAUGGAGGAACACCAGUGGCGAAAGAGACUCUCUGGUCGAUAACUGACGCUGAGCGUGGAAAGCGUGGGUAGCAAACAGGAUUAGAUACCCUGGUAGUCCACGCCGUAAACGAUGAGUGUUAAGUGUUGGAGUGUUUCCUCCGUUCACUAGCGCAGUUAAUACAUAAUGCACUCGGCGUGGGGAGUCGGACGUCAGGGUUGAAAAUCAAAGGAAUGGGCGGGGCCCAACCCAAGGGGCGGAGCAUGUGGUUUAAUUCGAAGCAAGGAGAAGAACCUUCCCAAGUCUUGACAUCAUAGAACCACUCAAGAGAUAGAGCUUUCCCUUGGGAGACAAAAGACCAGUGGGGCCAGGGUGUUGUUAGGUUGGGUUGGGGAAAGGUGGGGUAAAUUCCGCAACGAAGGCCACCCCUUUCUUAUAUUUCCCACCAUUCAGUUGGGCACUAUAGGGAGACUGCCGGUGACAAACCGGAGGAAGGUGGGGAUGACGUCAAAUCAUCAUGCCCCUUAUGACUUGGGCUACACACGUGUUACAAUGGAUGAUACAACGAGCAGAGAACUCGCGAGGGUAAGCGAAUUUCUUAAAACCAUUCUCAGUUGGGAUUGUAGUGUUGCAACUCACCUACAUGAAGCUCGGAAUCGUUAGUAAUCGGGGAUCAGCACGCCGCGGUGAAUACGUUCCCGGGUCUUGUACACACCGCCCGUCACACCACGAGAGUUGGUAACACCCAAAGUCGCUGAGGUAACCAUAAGGAGCCAGCCUUCUAAGGUGGGAUAGAUGAUUGGGGUG
rnacentral:rRNA from 1 species